UACGUAGGGUGCAAGCGUUAAUCGGAAUUACUGGGCGUAAAGCGUGCGCAGGCGGUUAUUUAAGUCAGGUGUGAAAUCCCCGGGCUUAACCUGGGAACUGCAUUUGUGACUGCAUAGCUAGAGUACGGUAGAGGGGGAUGGAAUUCCGCGUGUAGCAGUGAAAUGCGUAGAUAUGCGGAGGAACACCGAUGGCGAAGGCAGGUCUCUGGGCUGACACUGACGCUCAUGCACGAAAGCGUGGGGAGCAAACAGG
rnacentral:rRNA from 1 species